CUUUUAAAGUGCGUUAAAGCUUUACAACAYUGCCACUAUAAAUACCGAACAAACCCACUAACCCUUAUUAACUAUUGGAUGACUCCAUAACUUAUGGAAGCCACUAUGCUUGAACUAGUAACAAGAACAUGAACUUCUCUUAGAUACGCGUGUAAGCCGCAACAGACAAUCUAACGGCAAUUAACGUUAAUAACCCCAAUACAACAACCCUCAAGAAAAACUUGCAUAACUCAACGUCACCCUUACACAAGCAUAUCACAAGAAAGAUUAAAAGGGGGAGAAGGAACUCGGCAAACCACAACCCCGCCUGUUUACCAAAAACAUCGCCUCUUGCUUAAAUAUAAGAGGUCUAGCCUGCCCAGUGAACAUUAAACGGCCGCGGUAUCCUAACCGUGCUAAGGUAGCACAAUUACUUGUCCCUUAAAUGGGGACUAGAAUGAACGGCAUCACGAGGGUUAUACUGUCUCCUCCCCCCAAUCAGUGAAACUGACCUCCCUGUGAAAAGGCAGGGAUUAAUAUAUUAGACGAGAAGACCCCAUGGAGCUUCAGACACCAAGCAAAUCUUGACCCCCUUCACCCUCAAAGCCUUUGAUUUAUGUCUCUAAGUCUUCGGUUGGGGCGACCAUGGAGUAAAAAUCAACCUCCAUAUCGAAUGGAUCACUCCUUAUUUAAGAGGCCACACCUCUAGAAAACAGAAUACUGACGCCCACUGAUCCGGAAUCCGAUCAAUGAACCAAGUUACCCUGGGGAUAACAGCGCUAUCCACUUCGAGAGUUCCUAUCGACAAGUGGGUUUACGACCUCGAUGUUGGAUCGGGAUACCCUAGUGGUGCAGCCGCUACACAUGGUUC
rnacentral:rRNA from 1 species